UAGGGAAUCUUCGGCAAUGGACGGAAGUCUGAACGAGCAACGCCGCGUGAGUGAAGAAGGGUUUCGGAUCGUAAAGCUCUGUUGUUAGAGAAGAACGUUGGUAGGAGUGGAAAAGCUACCAAGUGACGGUAACUAACCAGAAAGGGACGGCUAACUACGCGCCAGCAGCCGCGGUAAUACGUAGGUCCCGAGCGUUGUCCGGAUUUAUUGGGCGUAAAGCGAGCGCAGGCGGUUCUUUAAGUCUGAAGUUAAAGGCAGUGGCUUAACCAUUGUACGCUUUGGUAACUGGAGGACUUGAGUGCAGAGGGGGAGAGUGGAAUUCCAUGUGUAGCGGUGAAAUGCGUAGAUAUAUGGAGGAACACCGGUGGCGAAAGCGGCUCUCUGGUCUGUAACUGACGCUGGGGCUCGAAAGCGUGGGGAGCAAACAGG
rnacentral:rRNA from 1 species